UACAGAGGUCUCAAGCGUUGUUCGGAUUCAUUGGGCGUAAAGGGUGCGUAGGCGGCGCGGUAAGUCGGGUGUGAAAUCUCGGAGCUUAACUCCGAAACUGCAUUCGAUACUACCGUGCUUGAGGACUGGAGAGGAGACUGGAAUUUACGGUGUAGCGGUGAAAUGCGUAGAUAUCGUAAGGAAGACCAGUGGCGAAGGCGGGUCUCCGGACAGUUCCUGACGCUGAGGCACGAAGGUCAGGGGAGCAAACGGG
rnacentral:rRNA from 1 species